UGGCGGACGGGGAGGUAAUGUCUGGGAAACUGCCUGAUGGAGGGGGAUAACUACUGGAAACGGUAGCUAAUACCGCAUAACGUCGCAAGACCAAAGAAGGGGGGACCGUUCGGGCCUCUUGCCAUCGGAUGUGCCCAGAUGGGAUUAGCUAGUAGGUGGGGUAACGGCUCACCUAGGCGACGAUCCCUAGCUGGUCUGAGAGGAUGACCAGCCACACUGGAACUGAGACACGGUCCAG
rnacentral:rRNA from 1 species